GGAAGACACAAGAAUUGCCUACCCGAGAAGAAUGGCAGAGAAAAGUGAUAGACUAUAUGGAACUGGCUGAGAUGACUGGAAGAAUUCGAGAUCAAGAAGAAGGGUUGAUGGAAGAAGAUUGGAAAAAGUUUAAAAUAUAUUUACAGAAUCACUGUAACAUAAAAGAAUGUUAGGAAAGGUUGGAGAAGAAAUAUUAGACCGUAUUGGCAGACAGAGUAUAAUGGAAUUAAGUAAAUAUGAAGUGUAAAUUAAAGGAUAGAGGAGAAUUAAAUAUUUUUGAAUGUUAAAAUGUUAAAAUAAGUGAAUGGAAAGAAGGUUAGAAGGAUUUGCUGGAGAUACAAUUUGAAUUAGAAUACAAAGCAGAGAAGUGUGAGGAAGUCACGGAAAUAAGUAAAUGGGAAUACGGUUUGUUAAAUUUGAAUUCUUUUUUUUGUUAUUUUUUAUUGUGAUUUUUGGUCUUGUGUAUUUUUUCUUUUUUCUUUUUUUCCUUGUAUGGUGUGUAUCUUUUGUAAGAUGUAUGUCACUGGUUUUCUUGUUUUGUUUUUUCUUUUUUUUUUGUAAUCUUAAAACUUGAAUAAAUAUUCUU